rnacentral:rRNA from 1 species
GCUAAGAAUAUUCCGCAAUGGACGAAAGUCUGACGGAGCGACGCCGCGUGGAUGACGAAGGCCGAAAGGUUGUAAAAUCCUUUUGUUGGGGAAGAAUAAGCGUGGCAGGAAAUGGCCGCGUGAUGACAUGAACCGACGAAUAAGCCCCGGCUAACUACGUGCCAGCAGCCGCGGUAACACGUAGGGGGCGAGCGUUGUUCGGAAUUACUGGGCGUAAAGGGCAUGUAGGCGGCCCUGUAAGCCUGGCGUGAAAGUCACCGGCUCAACCGGUGGAUUGCGUCGGGAACUGCGGGGCUCGAGUCACGGAGGGGAAGGUAGAAUUCCUGGUGUAGGGGUGAAAUCUGUAGAGAUCAGGAAGAAUACCAGUGGCGAAGGCGACCUUCUGGCCGAUGACUGACGCUGAGGUGCGAAAGUGUGGGGAUCAAACAGGAUUAGAAACCCGGGUAGUCC